AACGAACGCUGGCGGCAUGCCUAACACAUGCAAGUCGAACGAGACCUUCGGGUCUAGUGGCGCACGGGUGCGUAACGCGUGGGAACCUGCCCUUAGGUUCGGAAUAACUCCCCGAAAGGGGUGCUAAUACCGGAUAAUGUCUUCGGACCAAAGAUUUAUCGCCUUUGGAUGGGCCCGCGUUGGAUUAGCUAGUUGGUAGGGUAAAAGCCUACCAAGGCGACGAUCCAUAGCUGGUCUGAGAGGAUGAUCAGCCACACUGGGACUGAGACACGGCCCAGACUCCUACGGGAGGCAGGAGUGGGGAAUAUUGGACAAUGGGCGAAAGCCUGAUCCAGCCAUGCCGGGUGAGUGAUGAAGGCCUUAGGGUUGUAAAGCUCUUUUACCCGGGAUGAUAAUGACAGUACCGGGAGAAUAAGCUCCGGCUAACUCCGUG
rnacentral:rRNA from 1 species